rnacentral:rRNA from 1 species
GAUGAACGCUGGCGGCGUGCCUAAUACAUGCAAGUCGAGCGAACAGACGAGGAGCUUGCUCCUUCGACGUUAGCGGCGGACGGGUGAGUAACACGUAGGUAACCUACCUAUAAGACUGGGAUAACUUCGGGAAACCGGAGCUAAUACCGGAUAAUAUUUCGAACCGCAUGGUUCGAUAGUGAAAGAUGGCUUUGCUAUCACUUAUAGAUGGACCUGCGCCGUAUUAGCUAGUUGGUAAGGUAACGGCUUACCAAGGCAACGAUACGUAGCCGACCUGAGAGGGUGAUCGGCCACACUGGAACUAAGACACGGUCCAGACUCCUACGGGAGGCAGCAGUAGGGAAUAUUCCGCAAUGGGCGAAGGCCUGACGGAGCAACGCCGCGUGAGUGAUGAAGGUCUUCUGAUCGUAAAACUCUGUUAUUAGGGAAGAACAAACGUAUAAGUAACUGUGCACGUCUUGACGGUACCUAAUCAGAAAGCCACGGCUAACUACGUG